CAACCUCUUUUUGCCAUAUUAACCUUCCGUCAAAAUUUUGUUUCGAACCUUUUUUUACCACAUUAUAUGUCAAUUUUUUUUUUUGGUUUCACUAUUUGUACAUCCUCAAGACUUGACCUAUGCCUCAAGUGACUCACCAUUCUGCUUAGUCUAGCCGAUGCUCUUUGGAUGUCAUUCAGCCUACCUUGUGUUGUGCCAUUUGGUAACUUGAUUGGCCC
rnacentral:lncRNA from 1 species